rnacentral:rRNA from 1 species
CAGUAGCCACGGUAAUACGUAGGGUGCGAGCGUUAAUCGGAAUUACUGGGCGUAAAGCGGGCGCAGACGGUUACUUAAGCAGGAUGUGAAAUCCCCGGGCUCAACCUGGGAACUGCGUUCUGAACUGGGUGACUAGAGUGUGUCAGAGGGAGGUAGAAUUCCACGUGUAGCAGUGAAAUGCGUAGAGAUGUGGAGGAAUACCGAUGGCGAAGGCAGCCUCCUGGGAUAACACUGACGUUCAUGCCCGAAAGCGUGGGUAGCAAACAGGAUUAGAUACCCCAGUAGUCCCUGUCUCUUAUAC